rnacentral:lncRNA from 1 species
AGAUUCUCACCAUAAGGUCCACCGGAGUGAAUAAGGUUGCAGUCGUAAUAGUGUUGAUUAGCGUAGUUCCGUGCAUAGGCAGCCACGGUCUUGUCCCAAAUCAUAGGGCCAACACCGACGGCUGCUCGAGCUGCAUUGUGAGCAUUGAGGUAGUCUUGUGGUGAGUCCCCUCCCAAGGCUAGGUAGUCUUGUUGUGAGUCUUGGGCUUGGGAGGGAAGGACUAGGUAGUCUUGUGGUGAGUUUUGGGCAUGGGAAGGAUGGACCAAGGCUAAGGCUAUGAGAGAAGUAAGAGCUACUAAAGUAAACUCCAUUUUGAAGUUUGAUUCUAUAAGAAUAUUGCAAUGAAGAAAAG